rnacentral:tRNA from 1 species
GCGGUGGUAGUUCAGUUGGUAGAAUGUCUCCUUCCCAAGGAGAAGGUCGCCGGUUCGAGCCCGGUCCACCGCU